GUGCUUGCUUCGGCAGCAUAUAUACUAAAAUUGGAACGAUACAGAGAAGAUUAGCAUGGCCCCUGCACAAGGAUGACACACAAAUUCGUGAAGCGUUCCAUAUUAAA
rnacentral:snRNA from 1 species